GAUGAAGAACGCAGUGAAAUGCGAUAAGUAAUGUGAAUUGCAGAAUUCAGUGAAUCAUCGAAUCUUUGAACGCACAUUGCGCCCCCUGGUAUUCCGGGGGGCAUGCCUGUCCGAGCGUCAUUACAACCCUCAAGCUCAGCUUGGUAUUGGGCCCCGCCGACCCGGCGGGCCCUAAAGUCAGUGGCGGUGCCGUCCGGCUCCGAGCGUAGUAAUUCUUCUCGCUCUGGAGGUCCGGUCGUGUGCUCGCCAGCAACCCCCAAUUUUUUUCAGGUUGACCUCGGAUCAGGUAGGGAUACCCGCUGAACUUAAGCAUAUCAAUAAGCGGAGG
rnacentral:misc_RNA from 1 species